UCUCAGGCAAGUCUCUUUGGUUCUCUGACCCUCAGAUUCCUCCUUCAUGAAACACAGGCAAAAACUCAAAACUUUCCGCCUUGUUAUAAUGAUUAAUUAAUGUGGCUAAGUGCUUAGUCUGAGGUCUGGCUUGCUGUGGAUCUUCAAUAAUACGCCUUGGAGUACGUCCCAGAGAAGGUUUUCAGAUAAAGACAGUUGAAGAAACAGAGAUUUAAGAUAACUUACCUGCAACUUUGGCAAGCAACACCAAGCCCAUCUGCGUCUAUCCAGGAGUUCCCACAGAGGCCCAAGUCAGAUGAGGAUCAGAUGCUCUCAGACUUUCUCCUAAGUUAUUGAAAGAGUGCCUUCUGUCUCCAUCUUUGCUGAGAAUCAAUGACCACAGCUGUGAGUUAUCUCCUGGACUGCACCUCACUUUCCACAAGGCUCACAGGUCUCCGUGUCAGCACCAGCAACCCCACGACUGUUGCACGGCAAGCUGGGAAACAGUGUUGUGACUCUCCUGGCUGUGUAAGUACUUUUAACAAUCUAGACACUUAGGAUCCAGUUUGCAGCUUCUUCAAACAGGAAGCCUAGUAGGGGGCAGUUCUGGCUGAAUCGCACUGACAGCUAAGUAAUUUGGGAAGAACUAGGACCCUGCUCAUGUUGAAUCUUCUGAACCUUGAAAAAAAUGCACAGCUUUCUACUUACGAAGUUCUCUUGAUUUCUUUCAAAAUAUUGUACAAUUUUAAGUGCGCUGGUCUGACCUACAUAUUGAUGAGUUUAUCCCUAUGUAUGGUACAUCACGCUGGUUGUAUUACUAUAAAUGCCAUUGUUUGUUCAAUUUCAACUUCUAAUUUGUAUUGCUAGUAUACAGAUUCUGAGUUUUCAUGUCUCUCACACUUGGCAACCUUCUUACACUCUCUUAUUUACAUAUAAAUAUUUCUGUGAAUUCCAUGGGAUUUUCUAUAUAACUAUCUUCACAAUUAAUUGAAAAGUUUUAAAAUUUUAAUUUUUCAUUUUCACUAUAGGCAUCUGUUCACCUCCCCUUCUUUCUAACUUUAAUUCACCAGCUAGCAGUCUGUGUACAGUAUUCAAAGGCGAUGUCGUGGCCCUUUCUUGACCCUAGUGGGAAGAGUUCAGUGUCUGCUAAGAGUUGUGUCUGCUGUGUGGUUUGAGGCUCCUUCUUUCUCAGGCUGAGGAAAUUCUGUGCCUGUUUUGGGAAGAGGGAGAUUUCAGAGUGGGUGUUGGGUGUUUCACAGAUGUCCCCACAUCUGUUGAGAUAAUCAUAUUUCUUUUCUAAUUUUAUUACUGAGGUGAACUUACUUUACCCAUGAUAGAGCAAACGUCCACUCCUGGGUUAAGCCCUAUUUAUCACUACCCCUUUCAUAUAUUGCUUACGUUUUGUUUAGCUCUUUUGGUUAUAUUUUCUUGAGGAGUGUGAGCUUGUAAGUUUUUUUAGUCUAAUAUAUUUUUUUCUAUAAGAAGAGUGGCCUCAUAUGAUGGAGUGCUGCCUGCCCUUGGAUGGUCUACUAGUAUUAUGUAAAGUUGGUCUCACUUCCUCCACAUGCUUGGUUGAAUUUACCAGUCACAAUGUCUGGGCCCAGGAAUUUCUUUGUAGGAAGGUUUAAAAGAACUGAUUUAGUUUCUCCAAUAGAUUAUUUCUUUCUUUCUAUGUGAACCUCAACAGCAUUGCUGUUUUCUGAAUCUAUCUUCAUGUAAAUUGUUGAUUUAUUGGCAUUGGAGGAUUAUUUUCUUAUUUUAAACUUCAUGUGUAUAGAAUCUGUAACCACUCCCCAUACUGAUGAGCUGUCUUCUGUCUUCUUUCCUGGUUAAUGUAGCUGGAGUCUAACAGUUUUCUCAAAUUUCUCAGUGAGCCUGAUUUUUGUCUAUUUCAGUUCUCACUGAUUUCCACACAGAUCUUCUCUCAGUUUCAUUUGCUUUAUUUUUUGAGAGUGAAUGUCUCAAUCUGUUGCCCAGGCUGGCUGGAACUGGUGAUGCUCCUGUUUCUGCCUGCCGAUGCAAGCCUGACAAGCAUGGACCAAGCCUGGCCUUUUCUGAGCACGUGCAUGGCAUUAGUGGGAGACGUUCUUUAUUCUAACAUACUGGCCCGGCUGUGUCUACCUGCACACAUGGGGAACUUGAUAUGUUGUUUUCUCUCAGUUCAAAAUAUUUUCUACACUCUUGAUUGAAUUAUCUUUAGGCACAUGGGUGGUAGAGAAAGGGUAACUCAUGUUCAAGCGUUGGAGCCUCUCUUUCUGAGCAUUUCUGUCUGCGUAGUGUACUUUUGCUGGGUGCUCUCUCGAGUUCCAUUGGGUCAUGCUCAUAUUUGUGUUGCUCAGACUUCCUCUUUUCAUUACUGGUUUUCUCUCUCCUGAGAGACCUGAGUGACUCCAUCUUGGAUAAAACCUCCAUAG